rnacentral:rRNA from 1 species
UGUGCCAGCCGCCGCGGUAAUACCAGCACCUCGAGUGGUCAGGAGGUUUAUUGGGCCUAAAGCAUCCGUAGCCGGCUGUACAAGUUUCCGGUUAAAUCCACACGCUUAACGUAUGGGCUGCCGGAAAUACUGUUCAGCUAGGGAGUGGGAGAGGUAGACGGUACUCGAUAGGAAGGGGUAAAAUCCUUUGAUCUAUUGAUGACCACCUGUGGCGAAGGCGGUCUACCAGAACACGUUCGACGGUGAGGGAUGAAAGCUGGGGGAGCAAACCGGAUUAGAUACCCGGGUAGUCCCAGCUGUAAACGAUGCAGACUCGGUGAUGCAUUGGCUUGUGGCCAGCGCAGUGCCGCAGGGAAGCCGUUAAGUUUGCCGCCUGGGAAGUACGUACGCAAGUAUGAAACUUAAAGGAAUUGGCGGGGAGCACCACAAGGGGUGAAGCCUGCGGUUCAAUUGGAGUCAACGCCAGAAAUCUUACCCGGGGAGACAGCAGAAUGAAGGUCAAGCUGAAGACUUUACCAGACAAGCUGAGAGGUGGUGCAUGGCCGUCGCCAGCUCGUGCCGUGAGAUGUCCUGUUAAGUCAGGUAACGAGCGAGACCCUUGCCUCUAGUUGCCACCAUUACUCUCUGGAGUAGUGGGGCGAAUUAGAGGGACCGCCACAGUUAAUGUGGAGGAAGGAGAGGGCCACGGCAGGUCAGUAUGCCCCGAAACCCUGGGGCUACACGCGGGCUGCAAUGGUAGCGACAAUGUGUUUCGAACCCUAAAGGGGGAGGCAAUCAUUAAACGCUACCUCAGUCAUGACUGAGGGCUGCAACUC